rnacentral:rRNA from 1 species
GUGCAGCAGUCGCGAAACCUCCGCAAUGCUCGAAAGAGCGACGGGGGGACUCCAAGUGCCUACGCUCAGCGUAGGCUGUUCCCGAGCCUAAAAAGCUCGGGGAGUAAGGGCUGGGUAAGACGGGUGCCAGCCGCCGCGGUAAUACCCGCAGCCCGAGUGGUGGCCGCUAUUAUUGGGCCUAAAGCGUCCGUAGCCGGCUCGGUAAAUGCCUGGGUAAAUCGUCUGGCCCAACCAGACGAAUUCCGGGUAGACUGCCGGGCUAGGGACCGGAGGAGGGAGAGGGGUACUCCAGGGGUAGGGGUGAAAUCAGCAAGGUGAGUUGCUGAUGUAACUUGCCUUGCAAGUCACAAUCCUGUAAUCCCUGGAGGACCACCGGUGGCGAAGGCGCUCUCCUAGGACGGGUCCGACGGUGAGGGGACGAAAGCCAGGGGAGCAAACCGGAUUAGAUACCCGCGUAGU